rnacentral:misc_RNA from 1 species
UAACAUCUAAUUUGAUGUAUUUAUAUUUAUUAUAUAGUCAUAUAUCUUAAUUUUACUUGUGUCUACCAAUAUCUACUCAUUUUAUAAACCUGUAAAUUUUUCAAACAAAUUUUCAUAGCGCCUCUUUUCCUCUAACCUUGACCUUGACCUUGAAUGUGACCACAAAUGCGGCUAUGACCGUGAUUUAAAACUAUGAUUUAUAGGCUAAGUCGUCUAUAUUAGCUUUCUAUUAUGCAUGUACAGUUCAGCAGAUUGGAUCUUUUACCUUGACACUUGUUGCCCUUUAUUUUGUAAUUUAUUAUGCAAUUUGUUUGGUUCUAGGAUG